rnacentral:rRNA from 1 species
AGGGAAUCUUCGGCAAUGGGGGCAACCCUGACCGAGCAACGCCGCGUGAGUGAAGAAGGUUUUCGGAUCGUAAAGCUCUGUUGUAAGUCAAGAACGAGUGUGAGAGUGGAAAGUUCACACUGUGACGGUAGCUUACCAGAAAGGGACGGCUAACUACGUGCCAGCAGCCGCGGUAAUACGUAGGUCCCGAGCGUUGUCCGGAUUUAUUGGGCGUAAAGCGAGCGCAGGCGGUUUGAUAAGUCUGAAGUUAAAGGCUGUGGCUCAACCAUAGUUCGCUUUGGAAACUGUCAAACUUGAGUGCAGAAGGGGAGAGUGGAAUUCCAUGUGUAGCGGUGAAAUGCGUAGAUAUAUGGAGGAACACCGGUGGCGAAAGCGGCUCUCUGGUCUGUAACUGACGCUGAGGCUCGAAAGCGUGGGGAGCGAACAGGAUUAGAUACCCUGGUAGUCCACGCCGUAAACGAUGAGUGCUAGGUGUUGGAUCCUUUCCGGGAUUCAGUGCCGCAGCUAACGCAUUAAGCACUCCGCCUGGGGAGUACGACCGCAAGGUUGAAACUCAAAGGAAUUGACGGGGGCCCGCACAAGCGGUGGAGCAUGUGGUUUAAUUCGAAGCAACGCGAAGAACCUUACCAGGUCUUGACAUCCCGAUGCUAUUUCUAGAGAUAGAAAGUUACUUCGGUACAUCGGUGACAGGUGGUGCAUGGUUGUCGUCAGUUCGUGUCGUGAGAUGUUGGGUUAAGUCCCGCAACGAGCGCAACCCCUAUUGUUAGUUGCCAUCAUUCAGUUGGGCACUCUAGCGAGACUGCCGGUAAUAAACCGGAGGAAGGUGGGGAUGACGUCAAAUCAUCAUGCCCCUUAUGACCUGGGCUACACACGUGCUACAAUGGUUGGUACAACGAGUUGCGAGUCGGUGACGGCAAGCUAAUCUCUUAAAGCCAAUCUCAGUUCGGAUUGUAGGCUGCAACUCGCCUACAUGAAGUCGGAAUCGCUAGUAAUCGCGGAUCAGCACGCCGCGGUGAAUACGUUCCCG